rnacentral:rRNA from 1 species
CAGUUCGGAUUGUAGUCUGCAACUCGACUACAUGAAGCUGGAAUCGCUAGUAAUCGCGGAUCAGAAUGCCGCGGUGAAUACGUUCCCGGGUCUUGUACACACCGCCCGUCACACCAUGGGAGUCAGUAACGCCCGAAGCCGGUGACCCAACCUGAUCAGGGAGGGAGCCGUCGAAGGCGGGACGGAUGACUGGGGUGAAGUCGUAACAAGGUAAC